rnacentral:lncRNA from 1 species
AGAACACCACAGGCAGGACCUCCCAGCAAAGGCCUCCAGAUGCUGUGAAAACCUAAGGCUCGUCCUCCUCCUGGCUUCCCAGGUUACCCAGCCACAACACACAGAUGCUGGGUCUGGGACGGCUCCACUGGAACCUGAGAUGACCUGAGGGUGUCCCAGUGAUAUAACAUAUGAGGAAAGCAGAAACAACUAAGAAAUAGACUCUGAAUGUGGCAGAUUCUAGAACUGAGGUGAGCAGCCAGGACUUGCCUGACAUGCCCACUGGGAGUACGGUGCUAGCAGCCUGAGAACAGAGCCCAGCCGCCACGCCACCAGGAUGGGAGUGGGCCCGGCGGACUUCCUGCCUUUUGGUCAGACAGACUGCCUUCCUGAAUUACUAGGUCCAGGAAGUGUGGUGACGGGGUGGGGGCGGGUGGAGAGGUUGCACGUGUCACUUACCACCCCCAUACGGCCCUCUUCCUGACUGUCGCCUCCCUUCCUCGCUUACAGACCAGUUACUUAAUCUGCCACAUGACGAGAUGGUAUCUGGGAUCUCUAACGGCUCUGAAAUCCCACAAUUCUAUAACUGGUCUUAGACACAAGACCAGUAAGAGAUAGGCGAACCCCGGCCCCGCCCCGCAGUUUGCUCCAUGUGAUACACAGUUCACACUGAGUGCUAGCAGUAGGGGAAGAAACAGUAGCUGCUCUGUGUUGAGCACUGAGCCUGCACUGAGCAAGGUGAUGCGUGUUUCUAGGCAUCGUCACAUUCUGUGCCCAUGUGGGUGCUCCUAGCACCAGUCAGAAGAUAGAGCUUAAACAGGUGGAGUAAGUUGCCCAAAGGCCAGCCCCAGUUUCCCUGAAUCUCAUCAUGCUGGACACUGGACUAUUUCUGGAGGUUUAAGGCUGAGAAAAUCUAAGUCUGUAUCCCCUCACACUCCUCCUUACACUGGUGUCCCUGGGAGAAACCUCGACAUUACUCCCAACCUCGCUUCUCCCCAAGAGCAGGAUGAUUUGUGUAACUCAUGAGUUUGGGAGAAAACCCGCACCUGUGGGGCUCGAUCCCUCUGCCUCUUGGAGCAGAAGGCGGCCUUCUGUGCUGGGCUCCGUCCUGGGGGAGGUCCGCAGCUGGCCAUCUGCGCCAGGCCCUAGCAGAUAAUAAAGCUUAUCUGUCCCAGGUGUGAUGUAUUAGCAAGCCUGCCUGGCCGUACCUCAAGCUGCAUUUUCCUCCAAUUUGCCAAGAAAGGGGACACUUUCUCUCAGUUGGUUCUGGACUCUGAAAGAAGAAAGGGUGUUGUUAUUCAUCCGGUUUCCUAGAGCCCCACCAUAUGGACACCUGGUGCAGCCCUGAAGGGAGGGAUGGCAGCAGGUUUAGGGAUGGAGACAUCUCAGAGCCAGAAGAGACCUUCUAGCAGCCCAGCAGAAAUAUAAUGAAGCCACACAGGUGACUGUAAAUUCCCUAGCAACAAUAUUAACAAAUAGAAGCAGGAAAAAUUAAUUAUAGUAAUACAUUUUACUUAGUUCAAUAGAGCAGAUGAUCAUUUCAAUAUGUGCUCAGAGUGCAGUGUGGCUAACGGCUUCUGUCAUGGACAGUACAGCCUUAGGGCCUCCUAUGCCUGAGGGGGUCUGCUCCCUUUGACAAUGUCCCAGUGCAAAGACUUCCAGGUGUGAAGAGGUCUCAACCUUCUGAAUCACUCCAUUUAGUGGUGGGCAUUUCUGGUUGUUAGAAACACCUCAUCCUCCAUUGGUCUCCACCCCCACUCAACUUGCUUCCAUCUCUCUGAGAGACAGUCAGAACGGAACACAUUCCUCUAGAAAGGUCCUCAGUCUUUUCUGAAAUGCCUAUCUCCUGUCUUUCACAGGCUGCUGCCUCCCUGUGUCAUUGCCUAACAUUGGUAUUCUUUGGUGGGACAAAGUUUUGGUGUUUUUCUCACUUGAGAAUAUUAUAUUUAUAACAGUUGUGGACACAUGUUGUUUUUUAACUACCCAGCAUCCAGUCUUCCUAAUUUAGAAGAACCCCAAAAUAGGUGAAAAGUACAACCCCACCUCUGAUCCCGCCUCUGACCCCGCCUCCUGUCACAGAGGCGGAAGAGGAGCAGAUCUUCACUUUCCACACCUCAAGGUACUCAGCCAAUCACCUGUUCAUGCCUGAGAUUGUGAAUCCAAUAGGAAAGUACAAGGACAUGGAGAUUGUCAGAGCUGUUGUAUGAUGGUGGCAGCAGAGUCAAGAGUCCAGCGGAGAGGCAGCAAGCAUCCCAAGGAUCCCAUGACUGAGAACCAGCUUCUGUGGUUUAGAAGCAAGGCGCCAACUGGUAUGAGAAGCACAGACAGAUGGUGCCCUGGGAACACUGGCUGUCACGUGCUGGAGGAGGUUCCUCAGCAAGUCACCUUCCCUCCAUGGGCCUCUGUUGGAAAGAAGGCAUCAAGAUCAUUCCAGCUAUGAUUCCUGAGCUUUUAAUAUAUUCUUUCUGAUGAUUAAGAAAUAUAUCUGUCGAGCAUGGCAGCUUACGCCUGUAAUCCUAGCACUUUGUGAGGCCGAGGCGGGUGGAUCAUGAGGUCAGGAGUUCAAGACCAGCCUGACCAACAUGGUGAAACCUCGUGUCUACUAAAAAUACAAAAAUUAGCCGGGUGUUGUGGUGUGUGCUUGUAAUCCCAGCUACUCGGGAGGCUGAGGCAGGAGAAACACUUGAACCCGGGAGGCGGAGGUUGCAGUGAGCUGACAUCACGCCACUGCCCUCCAGCCUGGGUAACAGAGUGAGACUCCAUCUCAAAGAAAAAAAGAGAUAUAUCUGCAUGUGACAUGGAAAGAGGCUCAGAAUAUCAGACAUUUUACUACAGAUCUUGAAAACAGCUCUCCAAAACUAACUCCAGAUCCACCCUGGGGUUCUCAACUCCACAUGGUUUUCUAAAAUUGAGACCAAGACUAAGAUGAAGAGCUAUGCCUCGCCCUGAUGCUGCCAGGACUACUGUUCCCAUGACUACCUUGAGGUGCAGGCUGAGACCCUGGGUGUCUGUGGUGGCAGAGUACAGCAGAGGAGUUGGAGUCAAAGCAGUUUGGAUCCUCAUCCCAGCUGGGCCUCCUGAUGUUGGAGGGCCCUGGACAAAGGGUUUUCAUUUGCUGGGUCUCAGUUCUCCACAUGGACAACAAUGCACUGUAUGAGUUUUAAGGUUCUUUUCAGCUCUGACUCUCUGUGAGUCUGAAUCCAGUAGGAGCUAUUAUUUCCUUGAUUCCUCCUUACUGUUUUGUUCCCUUCUUCUCUGGUUUCUGUAUUAAAACUUUAUAUGUUUAUGAAUGGAUAAUCAAAAUGUGGUAUAUCCAUAUCAUGGAAUAUUAUACAGCCAUGAAAAGGAAUGAAGUACUGAUGCAUGCUACAACAUGGAUGAACCUUAAAAACACUAGGCUAAGUGAAAGAAGCCAGUCUCCAAAGACCAUAUGUGGUAUGAUUUCAUUGAUAUGAAAUGCUCAGAAUAGGCAGAUUUGUAGUGACAGAAAGUACAUUAGUGGCUGCCUAGGGCUAGGAAGAGAUGAGGAGUGACUCUCAAUGAGUACAGGAUUUCUUUUGGAAGUGAUGAAAAUGUUCAAAAAUUGAUUGCAGUGAUGGCUGUACAACUCUGUGAAUAUAUGAAAAACCCUUGAAUUAUACAAUUGAAAUUGGUGAAUUGUAUGGUAUAUGAAUUGUAUCUGAAUAAAGCUGUUAAAAA